rnacentral:snRNA from 1 species
AUGCUAGCUUCGGCAGCACAUAUACUAAAAAAAAUAUGGAGAAGAUUAGCAUGGCUCCUGUGCAAGGAAGACGUGCAAAUUUGUGAAGGGUUCCAUUAAAAA